AUUCCAGCUCCAGUAGCGUAUAUUAAAGUUGUUGCAGUUAAAAAGCUCGUAGUUGGAUUUCUGGCAAGAGAUACCUAACCCGCCACGGUUACGUGUGUGAGUGUUGGCGUGUCUCCGCCAUCCUUCUGGAAAACGUUCCUACCAUUAAUUUGGCCGGGUUCGCAAUCUGGAUCUUUUACUUUGAAAAAAUUAGAGUGUUUAAAGCAGGCUUUCGCUAUUAAUAUAUUAGCAUGGAAUAAUAAUUUAGGACUUUGUUUCUAUUUUGUUGGUUUCUAGGGAUGAAGUAAUGAUUGAUAGGGAUAGUUGGGGGUGCUAGUAUUCAGCGGCCAGAGGUGAAAUUCUUGGAUUCGCUGAAGACUAACUUAUGCGAAAGCAUUCACCAAGGAUGUCUUCAUUA
rnacentral:rRNA from 1 species